AGCUUGCUGGGUGGAUCAGUGGCGAACGGGUGAGUAACACGUGAGCAAUCUGCCCCUGACUCUGGGAUAAGCGCUGGAAACGGCGUCUAAUACUGGAUGCGAACCGUGGAGGCAUCUUCAACGGUUGGAAAGAUUUUUUGGUCAGGGAUGAGCUCGCGGCCUAUCAGCUUGUUGGUGAGGUAAUGGCUCACCAAGGCGUCGACGGGUAGCCGGCCUGAGAGGGUGACCGGCCACACUGGGACUGAGACACGGCCCAGACUCCUACGGGAGGCAGCAGUGGGGAAUAUUGCACAAUGGGCGAAAGCCUGAUGCAGCAACGCCGCGUGAGGGAUGACGGCCUUCGGGUUGUAAACCUCUUUUAGCAGGGAAGAAGCGAAAGUGACGGUACCUGCAGAAAAAGCGCCGGCUAACUACGUGCCAGCAGCCGCGGUAAUACGUAGGGCGCAAGCGUUAUCCGGAAUUAUUGGGCGUAAAGAGCUCGUAGGCGGUUUGUCGCGUCUGCUGUGAAAUCCCGAGGCUCAACUUCGGGUCUGCAGUGGGUACGGGCAGACUAGAGUGCGGUAGGGGAGAUUGGAAUUCCUGGUGUAGCGGUGGAAUGCGCAGAUAUCAGGAGGAACACCGAUGGCGAAGGCAGAUCUCUGGGCCGUAACUGACGCUGAGGAGCGAAAGGGUGGGGAGCAAACAGGCUUAGAUACCCUGGUAGUCCACCCCGUAAACGUUGGGAACUAGUUGUGGGGUCCAUUCCACGGAUUCCGUGACGCAGCUAACGCAUUAAGUUCCCCGCCUGGNGAGUACGGCCGCAAGGCUAGAACUCAAAGGAAUUGNNNNGGACCCGCACAAGCGGCGGAGCAUGCGGAUUAAU
rnacentral:rRNA from 1 species